rnacentral:rRNA from 1 species
AACGAACGCUGGCGGCAUGCCUAACACAUGCAAGUCGAACGAGACCUUCGGGUCUAGUGGCGCACGGGUGCGUAACGCGUGGGAACCUGCCCUUAGGUUCGGAAUAACUCCCCGAAAGGGGUGCUAAUACCGGAUAAUGUCUUCGGACCAAAGAUUUAUCGCCUUUGGAUGGGCCCGCGUUGGAUUAGCUAGUUGGUAGGGUAAAAGCCUACCAAGGCGACGAUCCAUAGCUGGUCUGAGAGGAUGAUCAGCCACACUGGGACUGAGACACGGCCCAGACUCUUACGGGAGGCAGCAGUGGGGAAUAUUGGAAAAUGGGCGAAAGCAUGAUCCAGCAAUGCCGCGUGAGUGAUGAAGGCCUUAGGGUUGUAAAGCUCUUUUACCCGGGAUGAUAAUGACAGUACCGGGAGAAUAAGCUCCGGCUAACUCCGUG